rnacentral:lncRNA from 1 species
CAAUCCAACAGAGAGAGCAGAACAGCGUUUUUGUCUGGAGAGAUUAUCUAUCUGUAAAGAUACCAUUAAAGAAAUAGUAUUAAGACAAAUUAUUAUACUCAAUGAAAAAAAAUCCAGCUUGUUUUGUUUGGAUUUGGAUUGGUGGCGUAUGCUCUGUCAUAAUUUUCAAGGCUCGGUUUUUUACUACUUCAAAACUUUCAAACUUUUUAAAAUUGCAGUUGUGAUUUCGAAAAAUGUUUCCA